AAAUUGAAGAGUUUGAUCAUGGCUCAGAUUGAACGCUGGCGGCAGGCCUAACACAUGCAAGUCGAACGGUAACAGGAAGCAGCUUACUGCUUUGCUGACGAGUGGCGGACGGGUGAGUAAUGUCUGGGAAACUGCCUGAUGGAGGGGGAUAACUACUGGAAACGGUAGCUAAUACCGCAUAACGUCGCAAGACCAAAGAGGGGGACCUUCGGGCCUCUUGCCAUCGGAUGUGCCCAGAUGGGAUUAGCUAGUAGGUGGGGUAAUGGCUCACCUAGGCGACGAUCCCUAGCUGGUCUGAGAGGAUGACCAGCCACACUGGAACUGAGACACGGUCCAGACUCCUACGGGAGGCAGCAGUGGGGAAUAUUGCACAAUGGGCGCAAGCCUGAUGCAGCCAUGCCGCGUGUAUGAAGAAGGCCUUCGGGUUGUAAAGUACUUUCAGCGGGGAGGAAGGGAGUAAAGUUAAUACCUUUGCUCAUUGACGUUACCCGCAGAAGAAGCACCGGCUAACUCCGUGCCAGCAGCCGCGGUAAUACGGAGGGUGCAAGCGUUAAUCGGAAUUACUGGGCGUAAAGCGCACGCAGGCGGUUUGUUAAGUCAGAUGUGAAAUCCCCGGGCUCAACCUGGGAACUGCAUCUGAUACUGGCAA
rnacentral:rRNA from 1 species